ensembl:miRNA Gm22175 predicted gene, 22175
GAGCUGGGGUGAGCUGAGCUGGGGUGAGCUAAGCUGAGCUGGGGUGAGCUGAGCUGAGCUGGGGUGAGCUGAGCUGAG